CCUAGCCCAUUCCAUCAGGAAGGACCGGCAGCAUCUUCAGUUCCCAGCCCUGAGUGCACAUUUGUCUGCAUUCCAGGCAGCCACACAGGCACUGUAACAGGGAACUCAGUUCCUAUCUGUCCCUCCCACUUCCUGCAGAUAUCAGCCCUCCUCCUCCUCCUCCUCUUCCUCCUCCUCCUGCUGCAGCUAACAGUGUUCAGUCGCAGAACCAUUCCUGUGUCUGUCUGCUCGUUGGUCCUGCUGCAGCAUCCUGUUCCAUGAAAGGCAUUUCUCACUGGGAUCUGAUGCCUGCAUCAAAUGUUUUGCACCAGGACUUGCUGGUUUACUAUGAUCCCAUUAAAAAGGACACUCAGAUGCUGUAAAAUAUCAUUUAAAAUGACAUUCUAUGUUGUAGGACAGUAAAGAAAUAUGAGACAUAUAGAAAGAGGAUAGCAUAGAUAAUCACAUCCCCAUCAAUGUUGGGAACCCCAGGCUGUGCAACAUCAAAUGGUGAUCUACCUGAUCAGCAUGCAAUAUGUUACAAUGAGCAGGCUUCAGUGUCAGCCCUGUUACAGUGAUCUGGCUGAGGCUGUCUUGCAGCCAAGGCAUUUGUGCAGCCCAGCACAAUCCCGAAGGUGAAGCUGGAUGUGCAGCACAGCACAGAACAGGCCUGUGCUUCCUCAGGUUAACUGUUGUGUGGGUCACCAACUCCUUCGUGUGUGAUGAUUCUCCAGCCAUGAUCACUACGGCACAUUCUGGGUAUUUACCAUAAGCAUGCGCUAGGUGAUGCUCCUUGCCCACUUAACCAUCACUCAGCCACCUACUGGCAAUCCUGAACAGACCUACAGGACAAAGCAGCCGAUAAAUGCAGUGCCAAUUCUUCUACUGAUACGAAAAAGGACAUCUGCUAUGAUAUGACAUCACUUGGGGAGCGUAUGAAGCAUUUUCUGUUACUGGAAAAUGUGAAGCAUUAGCUAAUGAAGAAAGAAACUUGGGACUCUAUGAAGAACAUGCUUAAUGAUCUUUAACAGCUUACAUAAACCACGGCACAUUGGUGUUAUAAUCACAGCAAUAGCAAGUACAUUUAGGUCAGUUAAGUCUGAUGAAAUCUGUCAGCAUGUGACUACAAUCUAACUGUGCUGUGAUUAAUUCUGAUAAUUGUCAGUGAAUACCUACCAGAAAUGUAGCUGCACACAAUCAUGGUUACUGAUAGCAGUAUAAUGUUAAAGGUAUGCAGACCUUUUCACGUUCCUUUAGGACAAGCAUUUGCACAUCCCUGAGAUCUACUAACCUGCUGAGAUCCACAGGACCUGUAUAUUAGCCCUUGGAGUCAACAUUCACAGCACAAGGGCUUCAAG
rnacentral:lncRNA from 1 species